AGGGAGGGGAUGUGAGAGGCCCCCUGCCAUUGAGGAUAAGUGGACAUGUCUGAAUUGGCCUGCUACCUAAAAUUAAUAAUCUCAAUCACUUGGAUGGUGGUGUCCAUAAUUUUCUCCACUGUUUGUGUGGCAUAUAAUAAGUAAUGGUUGCACCUAGCAAUUCAUUUACAAAUCUUACUUGAUUUUGAAGCCAUAGAACACCUCAACUGUUAGCUUGAAUGACUGGAGUUUAGUUUUUAUUUCUCAGAACAAAACAGUUUGAAGCCUAAUUAACAUCCUCGGAAGGAACUUAACACUAAAACUCCUAACAGCUUCAGUUUUCUGACCUUGAAGAAAGGGAAAAUGAAGAGACCAUGGUGCCACUUCCGAAGCAAAGGCUGAAGUUCUGUGCUUUAGAGGUGGUGUUGCCAUCCUAUGAUUGCAGGAGUCUGGCCUUGGCUUGGUGGAGGAGCCUGUGGAUAAGGCGAAGGAAGGCUGAAGUGCAAUGUUGUGAUCUCGGCUCACUGCAACCUCUGCCUCCCAGGUUCAAGCGAUUCUCCUGCUUUGGCCUCCUGAGUAGCUGGGAUUGCAGGUCAGUUGCUCUCCCUGGAAGGAAGA
rnacentral:lncRNA from 1 species